rnacentral:misc_RNA from 1 species
UUUUGGCUAAUGCUGAAGAGGCACUGAUUUAACGGCUGACGAGAAAGAUCUUCUAUUUUAGAUUUCAAAUAUCUUACCGGCAGCUUCUCGAGGAGCCAGAAAUUAUAAUCUCGCGUCUCUCUCAUUCAUCUAUCUCUCUCUCUUACUCUUUCUCUUUCUAUACCUCUCUCCAACUCCUUCCCUCAUUUAGAUAUCUCGCUUCCGCGCGGAGGAUCGAUCGAUAUUUUGUCCUGACGGUGGCUAUUAACGACACGCGUACUUUUCAUUCGUUCCCUCCUACUCCGUUUUUCACGCUACGAUUGCUUCCAAACGUAACGUAAGGUGUAACCCCCUCCGAACCCCCUAUCCCCCCAUCGUCGGUUCUUCCAUCAAUGUCAGGUAGCGCAUGUUAGCCCCGCGUAUCCUGCAUCAUCGGUGGUCGAUAUCCUUCGAUAGCUCCGACUACAAUAGCCGGUUCACUCCGAUCGGAGGUCGCGGAUUUCUUCGCGCCAGUCGAUGCUCGAUUUUUAUCGGGUCACCCGCAAGAGCCACCCACUCUGUUUUCACCAGUUCCUAGUCUAUCCUGUGACGUAUCCUUUUCAUCCUGUCGCGGUUGGAAGCACCUACGCGACCGCGUAUGCGUCUGCAAACAGUCAAUAGCAAGUACCAAAACGAGACGAACAUAGCACAAAUAUAGAAACUGUGUUUCGGCGACAAUUGUACAUAAGGAUAUUGGAGAACGAAUCGUUGUCGGUUGUUCCUCGGAGGGGAGAACCGACCUCAGUAUUUUUACGGACUGCCGACACUAUUACAUAAUUAAAUCACAAAGAUAACUACUGUUGUGCUAUUACUGUUAUUGUUAUUAACAUUAUUGUUACCUCCGUUGUUGUUAUACCAUUCGCUGCGAAAUCAGCGGCGAUAGUGACAGUGACAACGGUCGCCGAAAAUCGCGUGGGUCUACGUCAAGACACCCGCGUGUCUCUUGAAAUCGUUAAUUGAAGAUUGACGGAGGAGAAGCAGGAAGAAGAUACACGGGAGAGGAAAUAAAUAGAGGGCAGGAAGUGGAGAAGUGGCACGUGGGAUCGCGAUAUAUCUCUGGAGAGCAAACAACAAGGAGUGCGCCGAGAAUCUCGAUAAGGAUACAUCAUCCGCGAGAAGAGGGUGAUCGAUUCUUGCGUAUCCAUCGGGAGAAUGGUAGUCGAAACCGCGGCGAGAAAUGGGCACGAGCUGGCACCUUUAAACGACCGUCGCCAACCCGCCCAUAACGUGACGAUCGUAACAACAGGAAGCCAAAAUGCCACCGGUGGCCAGGAGACGAAGGAGGAGAACAGGGCGGCAUGGAGUGGGAAAAUGCAAUUCUUUCUCAGUAUUAUCGGGUACAGCGUGGGUCUUGGCAAUAUCUGGAGGUUUCCUUAUCUGUGCCAACAGAACGGAGGUGGUGCCUUCCUCAUUCCUUUUUUCGUGAUGCUCAUCUUAGAGGGCGUACCCCUCUUCCUGAUCGAGCUGGGUCUCGGACAACGUAUGCGACAGGGUGCCCUGGGCGUCUGGAACACUAUACAUCCUUGGUUAGGAGGUAUAGGAAUCGCGUCGUGCAUAGUUACGUUUUUCGUUGCGCUUUACUACAACGUAAUUAUUACUUGGUGCUUCUACUACCUCUUCAAUUCGCUCGAGGCUGUCACGAUCAAAUUCGGUGACCCACUGCCGUGGGCAAAAUGUCCGGAAUUGGACGGGAAACCGGUCGAGGAAUGUGCCAGGAGUUCGGAGACCGCAUAUUUUUGGUACAGGACUACCUUAGACGCGGCGCCGUCGAUCGAGGACGGUCAAGGUCUCAAAUGGUGGAUUGUCCUUUGCCUCUUGCUCAGCUGGGUCAUCGUGUUCUUCAUCGUCAUGAAGGGCAUACAGUCGUCCGGCAAAGUGGUAUACUUUACGUCCAUGUUCCCGUAUCUCGUACUGACCAUCUUCUUCAUCCGUGGGAUAACGUUGAGAGGUGCGAGCGCCGGACUGGCGCACAUGUACACACCAAAGGUCGAGAAACUGUUGGAACCCACGGUCUGGCUUGACGCGGCGACCCAGGUCUUCUACAGCUUCGGGCUGGCGUUCGGUUCCCUGAUCGCGUUCGGCAGCUACAACACUCCCAACAACAACUGCGUGAGGGACGUGAUCCUGGUGAGCGUGUGCAACGCGUUUACUGCCAUUUAUGCGAGCGUUGUCAUUUUCGCCAUUUUGGGGUUCAAGGCAAUGUCAAACGUGGACAAGUGCGUCGUCAGUGCGAAGAACACUCUGGUGGAUAAUAAGCUAUUGAAUGCUUCGGUCUCAUUCAACCUCGAAGACUACGAACGCUUUAUGAGCACCUUCAACUCUUCGGAAAGAAAUUUCACGUUAAAAGCUUGCAGUCUCAGCAAUGAGUUGGACAGUGCUGCCGAGGGUACUGGAUUGGCUUUCAUCGUGUUUACGCAGGCGAUUGUGGAAUUACCGGGUGCGCCGUUUUGGUCCUGUAUUUUCUUCUUGAUGCUUCUGGCCCUCGGUCUGGGCUCACAAAUCGGGAUACUCGAAGGCAUGCUUUGCGUAAUCUUUGACAUAGAUCUCUUCAAAAGAAUAAAAAAGCAAUAUAUGACAGGUGUUGUCUGUGUCGUUUGCUUUUUCGUGGGACUCAUUUUCUGUACUGGUGCUGGAGAAUAUUGGUUGAAAAUGUUUGACAGCUUCGCCGGCACCAUCGGUCUCGUUAUGGUCGCCCUGAUGGAAAUGCUCUCCGUGAUCUUCGUAUAUGGUCACGAAAAAUUCACCAAGGACAUCGAGGAGAUGACAGGAUACAGACCGGGAGUUUAUUGGCAAUUCACGUGGCGAUUUCUCGCUCCCAUAAUAAUGGUUUGCAUUCUUAUAUCAAGCAUCGCCUCCAUGUUCAUCAAGAAGCCGCAAUACUCGGCGUGGAACGCGGCAUUGGGGGUGGCAGAACCCACGAAUUAUCCCAGCUGGGUACUGGGCAUCGCGGCUGCCAUCAUUUUCGCGGGUAUCGCGCCGAUUCCGAUCGUUUUCCUCCUGCGACGAUUCCAAUGCGUCAAACUCGACGUGGAUAUCCAUCAAGGCAGUAUUCGUCGUAUCGACACCACCGUUUCCACCAAGGAAAUGAUGGGCGACGUUGACUUGUAGGUAAGCAUCCAUUCUCUGUCUGUGGUAACGUCGAUUACUUGAUAUCCCCGUAGCUACGUUAUACACCUUGAUGAAUAUCACGACCGGCUCGAGGACUUCCCGGAAGAGGACGAGGACAUUAAUAGCGACGACGAUACAAACAAUGUACCGGCCAUGAGCAAACUCGCCAAGAAGGCAAUGCAGGGUAGAGCUUUCAAGAUGGAAGUAAUGAACUUUUAAAGAGCGC